rnacentral:rRNA from 1 species
AGGGAAACCGAGUCUUAACUGGGCGUUAAGUUGCAGGGUAUAGACCCGAAACCCGGUGAUCUAGCCAUGGGCAGGUUGAAGGUUGGGUAACACUAACUGGAGGACCGAACCGACUAAUGUUGAAAAAUUAGCGGAUGACUUGUGGCUGGGGGUGAAAGGCCAAUCAAACCGGGAGAUAGCUGGUUCUCCCCGAAAGCUAUUUAGGUAGCGCCUCGUGAACUCAUCUUCGGGGGUAGAGCACUGUUUCGGCUAGGGGGUCAUCCCGACUUACCAACCCGAUGCAAACUGCGAAUACCGAAGAAUGUUAUCACGGGAGACACACGGCGGGUGCUAACGUCCGUCGUGAAGAGGGAAACAACCCAGACCGCCAGCUAAGGUCCCAAAGUCACAGUUAAGUGGGAAACGAUGUGGGAAGGCUCAGACAGCCAGGAUGUUGGCUUAGAAGCAGCCAUCAUUUAAAGAAAGCGUAAUAGCUCACUGGUCGAGUCGGCCUGCGCGGAAGAUGUAACGGGGCUAAACUGUGCACCGAAGCUGCGGCAGCGACGCUUAUGCGUUGUUGGGUAGGGGAGCGUUCUGUAAGCCUGCGAAGGUGUCCUGUGAGGGAUGCUGGAGGUAUCAGAAGUGCGAAUGCUGACAUAAGUAACGAUAAUGCGGGUGAAAAGCCCGCUCGCCGGAAGACCAAGGGUUCCUGUCCAACGUUAAUCGGGGCAGGGUGAGUCGACCCCUAAGGCGAGGCCGAAAGGCGUAGUCGAUGGGAAACGGGUUAAUAU